rnacentral:ncRNA from 1 species
GCUUGGUCCUACCUUAUCAUCAAUUAUUACUUAACUUACACAUGCAAGUCUCCGCAUACCCGUGAAAACGCCCUUAUUCCUCUAUCAGAAUAAUGAGCUGGUAUCAGGCACAGACAUCUUGCCCAUAACACCUAGCUCCGCCACUCCCCCAAGGGUACUCAGCAGUGAUUAACAUUGUUAAUAAGCGACAGCUUGAUCCAAUUAAAGUAAAUAGAGUUGGCUAAUCUGGUGCCAGCCGCCGCGGCUAAACCACUGAACUCAAGUUGAUAAUUAUUCGGCGUUAAGCGUGAUUAAAGUGUUAUAAAGUUUAGAAUCAAACCAAAACAAAGUAGUAACAUGCUCGAUCCAAGAAGCCCAAAACAAAAGUUAUUCUAACCAAACUUGACUUCACGACAGCUAAGAAACAAACUGGGAUUAGAUACCCCACUAUGCUUAACCGUAAAAUAUUAAUUUACACUUAAACCGCCAGGGAAUUACGAGCCCAAGCUUAAAACCCAAAGGACUUGACGGUCUUCCAUCCCCCUAGAGGAGCCUGUUCUAUAAUCGAUUCUCCCCGAUCAACCUCACCACCUCUUGAAUCUACAGCCUGUAUACCUCCGUCGCAAGCUUACCUUGUGAGCGCAUACUUAGUAAGCUCAAAGAUUUUUACACCUAUACGUCAGGUCAAGGUGCAGCCCACGAGGUGGAAAGAAAUGGGCUACAAUUUCUACUUUAGAACAAACGAAAGACUACAUGAAAUAUAAUCUAAAGGCGGAUUUAGAAGUAAAAGGAAAAUAGAGAGUUCCUUUUAACUGGGCAAUGGAAUGCGUACACACCGCCCGUCACCCUCUUCAGAUAACAAUAUAACGUAACUGACACCAUUAAUCUUCACAGAAGAGGUAAGUCGUAACAUGGUAAGUGUACUGGAAAGUGCACUUGGACUA